GCCGGGGAGCUCAGGCAGUAGAGCAUCAGACUUUUAAUCUGAGGGUCCGGGGUUGAUGUCCCCUUCAGGGCG